rnacentral:rRNA from 1 species
AACGAACGCUGGCGGCAGGCCUAACACAUGCAAGUCGAACGAACCCUUCGGGGUGAGUGGCGCACGGGUGCGUAACACGUGGGAAUAUACACAUAGGUAAGGAAUAACUCAGGGAAACUUGCGCUAAUACCUUAUAAUAACUCCGGUUCAAAGAUUUAUCGCCUAUGGAUUAGCCCGCGCUAGAUUAGUUUGUUGGUGAGGUAAGAGCUCACCAAGACUACGAUCUAUAGCUGGUCUUAGAGGAUGAUCAGCCACACUGGAACUGAGACACGGUCCAGACUCCUACGGGAGGGCAGCAGUGAGGAAUAUUGCGCAAUAGAGGAAACGUACUGACGCAGCCAUGCCGCGUGAAUAGAGAAGG